rnacentral:misc_RNA from 1 species
GAUCACCAACAAGACGUUUUACAGCACGUUCCUUUGCUUUCUCUAUGAAUUCAUCAUAUACACGCUCAUGAACAUAUGUGCGAGAGCCAGCACAGCAACAUUGGCCCUGAUUAAAGAAUAAAGCAAAGUGAGCAAGCUCAACGGCCUUAUCAAUAUCUGCAUCCUCGCAAACAAUAAAAGGGGAUUUCCCUCCAAGUUCCAAAGUUACUGGCUUGAGAUUGCUUCUUGC